UACAGAGGUCUCAAGCGUUGUUCGGAUUCAUUGGGCGUAAAGGGUGCGUAGGCUAGGCGCGGUGAACGUGCGGGUGUCGAAAUCUCGGAGCUUAACUCCGAAACUGCAUUCGAUACUGCCUGUGCUUGAGGACUGGAGAGGAGACUGGAAUUACGGUGUAGCGGUGAAAUGCGUAGAUAUCGUAAGGAAGACCAGUGGCGAAGGCGGGUCUCUGGACAUCUGACGCUGAGGCACGAAGGCCAGGGGAGCAAACGGG
rnacentral:rRNA from 1 species